rnacentral:rRNA from 1 species
CGGAACGGGUGAGUAACGCGUGAGUAACCUGCCUCAUACAACGGGAUACCUGAGGGAAACUUCAGUUAAUACGGUAUAAGACCACACUGCCGCAUGGCAGAGGGGUAAAAGGAGCAAUCCGGUAUGAGAUGGACUCGCGUCGCAUUAGCUAGUUGGUGAGGUAACGGCCCACCAAGGCGACGAUGCGUAGCCGACCUGAGAGGGUGAUCGGCCACAUUGGGACUGAGAUACGGCCCAGACUCCUACGGAAGGCAGCAG